rnacentral:rRNA from 1 species
ACGCACGCUGGCGGCGUGCUUCACCCAUGCAAGUCGAACGGAAAGGCCCUGCUUUUGUGGGGUGCUCGAGUGGCGAACGGGUGAGUAACACGUGAGUAACCUGCCCUUGACUUUGGGAUAACUUCAGGAAACUGGGGCUAAUACCGGAUAGGAGCUCCUGCUGCCUGGUGGGGGUUGGAAAGUUUCGGCGGUUGGGGAUGGACUCGCGGCUUAUCAGCUUGUUGGUGGGGUAGUGGCUUACCAAGGCUUUGACGGGUAGCCGGCCUGAGAGGGUGACCGGCCACAUUGGGACUGAGAUACGGCCCAGACUCCUACGGGAGGCAGCAGUGGGGAAUAUUGCACAAUGGGCGGAAGCCUGAUGCAGCAACGCCGCGUGCGGGAUGACGGCCUUCGGGUUGUAAACCGCUUUCGCCUGUGACGAAGCGUGAGUGACGGUAAUGGGUAAAGAAGCACCGGCUAACUACGUG